AUACCUUUCUCGGCCUUUUGGCUAAGAUCAAGUGUAGUAUCUGUUCUUAUCAGUUUAAUAUCUGAUAUGUAGCUCAUUAGGUCACAUGAUAUUAAAUUAAUUUUUCAGCGGGGGAGGGGCCGCCACACUAGCUUGCUAGUGGGCCCCUUGAGCGUCGCCCUUGCGCUGCACUACUGCAAGGGUCGAGCGCACCCUUA
rnacentral:snRNA from 1 species